UACGUAGGUGGCGAGCGUUGUCCGGAUUUACUGGGCGUAAAGGAUGCGUAGGCGGAUAUAUAAGUCAGAUGUGAAAACCCCGGGCUCAACUUGGGGACUGCAUUUGAAACUGUAUAUCUAGAGUGCAGGAGAGGAAAGUGGAAUUCCUAGUGUAGCGGUGAAAUGCGUAGAGAUUAGGAAGAACAUCAGUGGCGAAGGCGGCUUUCUGGACUGUAACUGACGCUGAGGCAUGAAAGCGUGGGGAGCAAACAGG
rnacentral:rRNA from 2 species